rnacentral:rRNA from 1 species
GUAGUUAGCCGGGGCUUCCUCCUUGGCUACCGUCACUUUCUUCGUCACCAAGGACAGAGGUUUACAACCCGAAAGCCUUCUUCCCUCACGCGGCGUUGCUGGGUCAGGCUUGCGCCCAUUGCCCAAUAUUCCCCACUGCUGCCUCCCGUAGGAGUCUGGACCGUGUCUCAGUUCCAGUGUGGCCGAUCAGCCUCUCAGCUCGGCUACCCAUCGUUGGCUAGGUGGGCCGUUACCCCGCCUACUACCUAAUGGGACGCGAACCCCUCCUUUAGCGGAUUUCUCCUUUGACCUCAUCCCGAUGCCGGGUCGUGGUCUUAUGCGGUAUUAGCACUUGUUUCCAGGUGUUAUCCCCCUGUCUGGGACAGAUUGCUCACGCGUUACUCACCCGUCCGCCGCUGAAACACACUUCGUAUUGCUACUCAACGUGUCCCCGCUCGACUUGCAUGUGUUAGUACACGCCGCCACGCGUUCGUUCCUCGAGCCACGAAUACAACCUACUGA